rnacentral:rRNA from 1 species
GAUGAACGCUGGCGGCGUGCCUAAUACAUGCAAGUCGAGCGAACGGACGAGAAGCUUGCUUCUCUGAUGUUAGCGGCGGACGGGUGAGUAACACGUGGAUAACCUACCUAUAAGACUGGGAUAACUUCGGGAAACCGGAGCUAAUACCGGAUAAUAUUUUGAACCGCAUGGUUCAAAAGUGAAAGACGGUCUUGCUGUCACUUAUAGAUGGAUCCGCGCUGCAUUAGCUAGUUGGUAAGGUAACGGCUUACCAAGGCAACGAUGCAUAGCCGACCUGAGAGGGUGAUCGGCCACACUGGAACUGAGACACGGUCCAGACUCCUACGGGAGGCAGCAGUAGGGAAUCUUCCGCAAUGGGCGAAAGCCUGACGGAGCAACGCCGCGUGAGUGAUGAAGGUCUUCGGAUCGUAAAACUCUGUUAUUAGGGAAGAACGUAUAUGUAAGUAACUGUGCACAUCUUGACGGUACCUAAUCAGAAAGCCACGGCUAACUACGUG